CUUCUUAGAGAUAGUAUGUAGGCAAGGAAUGAGCUUUUCUUUUCUUGUGAAUUGGCAAAAUAAAAUGAAUGAAAGUGCCUCCUAUUUAUAGAUUUUCAAGGUUUGGGGCAAAAUAGUAAAUUUGAAAUUUAAUGGGUAGAAUUGCUUAGAUUUAAAAUCAAUGGUCCGAAUGGGAAAUAAAGUACAUGGAUUGCCAACCAAGAAUUUGUCCAAUCAAUUUUGCAGCUUCCAAAUUUAUAGAAGGUUUAGCGCACAAAAAUUGUUAGCUUCCAAAGACAAAAUGUGCUCAUUUAAUUCGAUCAAAACAUUUAGAGUAAAUCUACAUGUACAUCACAUUUACUUCUUGCUUGCCCAAACGCAGAGAAUAAAGUCGUUUUGAAUUUUUUUCCCCUACAAUUCAAGUUGCUUUCGCUUCUCCUCUUUGGUCGCCCAAAUAUUUCUCUCUCCUCUUGAUUUCCCUACUUGCAGCACAAAGCAGAUUCGCCCAUAAUAAAGCUUCAAAAUGCAAAGAAAGGGGCCCCGGAAAUUAGGAAAAACCAAAUUAGCUGGAAAACAUGACGGAGGCCAUGAAUACCGGCAAGACCAAAAGCAGAACCCAGAAAUCAGAUACCCAAGGUUGUUGGAUAGACCCCACGAGUAGCUGGAGCCGAGAAGCCAAAUCGGCUAAACGAUGGAUCGUCGGAGAAAUCCAAUGCUCAGCAAAAAAGAGGAUUCUCAAAACACCCAUCAUCAAAUCAGAUCAUCAAUCAAGAUAAGAAUUAAAAGCAAAUAUGGUUUAAUUAUGGAUACAUAGACCAAUAUAUAGCCACCAAACGUAGCUACAACAGAUCACAUCAUUGAUUAGAUACAAAAUGAAUACAAAAUUUAUUAGAUACCACAUGUCAUUUUAUGAUGUAGAUACAAUCUUGCUGGAUGAAGAGUUUAAACUUAAAUUAUCAAUCAAGAGGAAAGGAUUGCUUAGUUAAAAUUUUCAAAAUAUUGAAUGGGAUAAAACUGAUUGAUUGGCUUUGCACUGCUCCUGACUUUUGACUUUGGGGGCACACGGUUUUGGAUGGUUGUUUGCAUAUGGGUUUCGGCAAGUAGUGAAUUCAAGAGAAGAGAGAAAUAUUUGAGCGAUGAAAGAGGAGAAGCAAAAGCAACUUGAAUUGUCGAAAAAAAUAUAUUCCAAAACGACUUUAUUCCCCGCGUUUUGACGAUUUACUCAAACAUUUAAUGCAGACAUCUCAUCACAUUCACGAAAUGAACAAAAAACUUUGUCCCAACUUGAUUGUCUCUUUUAGUUCCCAGCAUAUGCAAAGG
rnacentral:lncRNA from 1 species